UGUCCGGAUAAGUAGAGGUGAGUGCUACCAUGAGUCCUGUGUCAUUCCAACAGUAAAGCAUCCUGAGACCAUUCAUUUGUGGGGUUGCUCCUCAUCCAAAGGGAAUGGGCUCACUUACAAUUUUGCCUAACAACACUGCUAUGAAUAAAGAAUGGUAUCAAAACAUCCACCAAGAGCAACUAUUCCCAAC